GUAGGUGGCAAGCGUUGUCCGGAAUUAUUGGGCGUAAAGCGCGCGCAGGCGGUUCUUUAAGUCUGAUGUGAAAGCCCACGGCUCAACCGUGGAGGGUCAUUGGAAACUGGAGAACUUGAGUACAGAAGAGGAAAGCGGAAUUCCACGUGUAGCGGUGAAAUGCGUAGAGAUGUGGAGGAACACCAGUGGCGAAGGCGGCUUUCUGGUCUGUAACUGACGCUGAGGCGCGAAAGCGUGGGGAGCAAACAGGAUUAGAUACCCUGGUAGUCCACGCCGUAAACGAUGAGUGCUAAGUGUUAGGGGGUUUCCGCCCCCCUUAGUGCUGCAGCUAACGCAUUAAGCACUCCGCCCUGGGAGUACGGCCGCAAGGCUG
rnacentral:rRNA from 1 species